CCAGAGGGAACCUUUGUCUUCAUUAUACUGGCUAGUAAGCAUGCCAGACUUUUGCUUCUCUGUGCUGCUUGCUAUACCAACAUCUUGGAAAAAAAUAAUCUAGAACAAAGACAGUCCGUGCCUCUGCUUGCAAGAUGUACAGAAAUGCAAGAAAUCUACAGAACAUUAUUUCAACAGAAAGUUUCAAAAAAUAUAGGUUAUUUUGCAGUUGUGGCUCAAAGUGUGAAUUUGCCCUUUGUGUCACAGUCUAAAUUUAAGUGGAAACUAGAUGAGAUUUCCUUCAAAUUUCCUGCAGGCAUACAUAUCUGUGUAGCAAGAUGUAACAGUUAGCUUAAUUAUAAACAUUUGGAAGAUUAUCUGUAGUCUUACCCAAAUCACUAUGGUAUACAAUCAGAAGCAAUGGCUGAAGGUCAGCACACUCAGAUUUUAAGCCUCAUGCUGUCCUUAACUGACAACAGGACUCACAACAAAUCAUAUAACUUACUUGGUCCUCAGUUUCUGUAUCUCUUCAAAUGUGUGAUUACUUUCUAAUUUUUCUCCUAGAUAAUUUUCUUUUUGUUUGUUUCAAGUCCUGGAUGUGGCAUCUAAACUCCUAGAUAAUUUUCUAUUUUUUUUUUUUUUUACUACUAAAAGUCCUUGAAUCUAUGAAGCUACAUUUCAAAGUGGAAAAAAUGACUCAAAGAGAGUUUUAAGGAGCAGAUUAAAUGGCCAGUGAUUCAAUAUCAGACAAAAUGUAAUGUAGCUGUCUUCGUUUUCAAUUCCCUUUUCUUUUUCCACUAGAAAACACAGACAUUGGAAGACGUAUGAGACUACGGAAACUAAUUUUCUCAAGGUCAACAAAUAGAGUUGGAAAAUAACGAAGGAACAAAGAAAUGCUGACAGAAAAUGAAUUUCAUACUCCAGUAGUGUUACCAAACUACAUUUCCCCAUCAUGGUAGCCUAAGCCAGGAAGUGGAGAAAAGAGAAGGAUGUCAUUAAGUGGAAAAUAAUCAGGGCAUUUUGAGAGUGGUGUUUUUGGCCGUCGAGAUAAGUCAGUCAUUCUGAGGUAUGGAUGGACAGAGAGCAAGCACUGGCAAGAACAAGAAGAGACGAAUAGGUCGGGCUCUCUCUGUGGGUAUAAAACUCUGAGCAGUUCACUUCAAUUCAUUGGAUCUUGGUGGGCCUCAGACCCACUAAUUACUAUAGUUUCUUGAGGCCUCAAGGUUCAUUUUCUAAAGAAGAACUCCGGCCACGUUCAUUUAUAGCUAUCUUUUAAAAAUACCCAAAUCUGGCUGCGCAGUGGCUCACGCCUGUAAUCCCAGCACUUUGGGAGGGUGAGGUGGGAGGAU
rnacentral:lncRNA from 1 species